AGAGUUUGAUCAUGGCUCAGAGUGAACGCUGGCGGCGUGCUUAACACAUGCAAGUCGAACGAGAACGGGCCUAGCUUGCUAGGCUGUCAGCUAAGUGGCGGACGGGUGAGUAAUGUAUAGUUAAUCUGCCCUUUAGAGAGGAAUAACUACUGGAAACGGUAGCUAAUACCUCAUACUCCUUUUACCUUAAUGGUAAUUGGGAAAUGUUUUUUCGCUAAAGGAUGAGACUAUAUGGUAUCAGGUAGUUGGUGGGGUAAGAGCCUACCAAGCCAAUGACGCCUAGCUGGUCUGAGAGGAUGAUCAGCCACACUGGAACUGAGACACGGUCCAGACUCCUACGGGAGGCAGCAGUGGGGAAUAUUGCACAAUGGAGGAAACUCUGAUGCAGCAACGCCGCGUGGAGGAUGACGCAUUUCGGUGUGUAAACUCCUUUUAUAUGGGAAGAUAAUGACGGUACCAUAUGAAUAAGCACCGGCUAACUCCCGU
rnacentral:rRNA from 1 species